AUGUCUUUUCUUUAGUACUUAGUUUCACCAGCAGAGGGCGCUUGGCACUUUGGCCAUCAGUAGUUGACGCCGGAAGGAGGAGCUCAGUCACUACGUGAUGAGUGAGUCAGCAGAACGUGACCAGGCGCGCAGCAGUUAUUGAUUGUUUUAUUUAUUUAUUUUCCAGCUGGCAGCAAAGACCUGGCUGUGCAUGGAAAUCAAGAGAAACCACUCAUUAACUGGAGGCAAAUUUGGGAGAAGAAUGCAAAUUUUGUCUCCUUGGUCUUGUGGAAGAUGAUAAGAGAGAUCAGGAUUGUCUGUAAAAAUGGUUUCUCUACGAAAUUUUUUGGAAAGCUAUUUUUGGAUUGGGGUGGAUGGAGAUACCUGCAGGGCAUUUCUGCCUGUCACACCUUUGCCAGCGCCUGAGAGCCAGCAGCGCGGCCUUCAGCUGGGAGUCAUCCUUCACUGAAGCUUUCUUACUUCACCUGCCAAAAUGUCUCUGGGUGGAGAGGAUUAACAAGCAGAUCUUCCCCGAGUAGAUGACAAGAAUAAGAACUGCAAGAAAAGCAAAGUCAGGCUCCAAAAAUGAAGCCCCCUUCUUUACAAAAGGAGACUCGGCGAAUAUCUUACAAUGUGUCAGUUUCUACUAAAAAGCUGUUUCUACAGAACAAUUGAAAACUUGCUUUACAUUCAGGGCAGAAGGCCUGCACUGGCAAGAAACGUCAGUGCCCUCAAGCAAACAAAUGUUCCAUCAUCUGCCUUUCACAAACCUUUAGAUCUCUGUGAAUGUCAGCAGUACUAUCCUCGCCCCCUUCAGCACCCCCCCUCCAUUCCUGUCUGUGGGCCUUGGCCACUGUGCUAAAAACCAAUUCUCAAGAUACCGAGGCAUCUGUGAUGUCGCUCGCUGCUAAAAAGCCAAGGCACAGAAGAAAAACACUGAGGCCAAUCAAUGGCCUGACAAGGCAAAUAUCAGGCCUGGCCAUGGGGCAGCGAUUCAAAGUGUUUAACAGACAGGAAUCCUUCAGCCAGGACAAGCUAGGCAUGCUAAACGCUGAUCAGCUUGUUUGAAAAGGUCUCCUCUCUUGGGAUGGGUGUUAGCCGUCAACUGAAUAUCUGAUUCAGAGAAGAUAGAAAAAGAGUAAAACAACAGCUUUCAUUUCAGUCAUUCAUUUCCUUCUUCUCUGCUAUUUCUAAACCUAAUUCUUUGCGAUUUUAAUUUCAUUUUAAUAUUUCUACUUUUGAUUCAGUUUUAAUAAUGGGUAUUUGAACUGAUCCAAUUCCUAAUUUAAAACCAAAAUUUGACCUUUUGAUGGCAAGAACUUUCAUUUUAAUGACAAUCUUCUCAAAAGAUGUAAUCAUAAUUCUUUCAAAGAGUACUUUUUAAAAUGAGAGGAAAAAAUUAUAUUUAAAAAAAUUUCAAAAGAAUAAGGGGGAGCGCUGCCACUUAUUUACAUAUGACAUUUGAAAAUAAUAUAAUUUACAUCUUUCCCAAGUUUUUAAAGAGCCCCUCCAAUGAAAAUUGUGUUUUUAUUGUUUUAAUCAAAUUCUUGAGGCAUUUUUCUUAUAAUGGAGGACAUUUAUUUAAAAAAAAAAUUUUUUAAUUCAAAUCAUUGUGAAUCGAGAGCAGAUACAAAAAAUACGUUGGAAAAAAGCAUAUUUGUGAUGUUGGGCGAGAGUCAAGCUCCCUGUUCGCUCCAUUCUGAAGCAUUCACUUGCAGACAAACAGAUCCAUAAACGUCUUUGUUUUCCUCGUCUGAGCUGGAAUCUGGCUCUAUACAAGGAUAUUUCUGAUAAUGCUCGCCAUUUUUGUUGCACCUGUAAUGUUAGCUUGGGAUUGUGAGGCGCUGUAAGCUAGUGGGAGAGAGUGUAAACAAAGGCAUGAUGGGAUAGAGGCCGAGGCUUACUGCCCACAACUCAGUGGCAAACUUCUUAAGAACUACUACCGUUCUGCAGAAACUAUGUCCUUGGAAACAACAGGUUUGUUGAUUUUAGCUAAAAAUGUCAUGAUGAUAAAAGACCACGAGGAACACUUCUACAGUGCCUAUUCGCACAUAAUUUUCGAAAAACUUUUUUCUUGGCCGCACGGACAGAGGAAGGGUUAAGACAAAGGUGUCAAACUCAAUCACACAGGGGGGCCAAAAUCCAGAAGACACCUCAGGUCGCGGACC